GGGUUGUGAGGUUAAGCGACUAAGCGUACACGGUGGAUGCCCUGGCAGUCAGAGGCGAUGAAGGACGUGCUAAUCUGCGAUAAGCGUCGGUAAGGUGAUAUGAACCGUUAUAACCGGCGAUUUCCGAAUGGGGAAACCCAGUGUGAUUCGUCACACUAUCAUUAACUGAAUCCAUAGGUUAAUGAGGCGAACCGGGGGAACUGAAACAUCUAAGUACCCCGAGGAAAAGAAAUCAACCGAGAUUCCCCCAGUAGCGGCGAGCGAACGGGGAGCAGCCCAGAGCCUGAAUCAGUGUGUGUGUUAGUGGAAGCGUCUGGAAAGGCGCGCGAUACAGGGUGACAGCCCCGUACACAAAAAUGCACAUGCUGUGAGCUCGAUGAGUAGGGCGGGACACGUGGUAUCCUGUCUGAAUAUGGGGGGACCAUCCUCCAAGGCUAAAUACUCCUGACUGACCGAUAGUGAACCAGUACCGUGAGGGAAAGGCGAAAAGAACCCCGGCGAGGGGAGUGAAAAAGAACCUGAAACCGUGUACGUACAAGCAGUGGGAGCACGCUUAGGCGUGUGACUGCGUACCUUUUGUAUAAUGGGUCAGCGACUUAUAUUCUGUAGCAAGGUUAACCGAAUAGGGGAGCCGAAGGGAAACCGAGUCUUAACUGGGCGUUAAGUUGCAGGGUAUAGACCCGAAACCCGGUGAUCUAGCCAUGGGCAGGUUGAAGGUUGGGUAACACUAACUGGAGGACCGAACCGACUAAUGUUGAAAAAUUAGCGGAUGACUUGUGGCUGGGGGUGAAAGGCCAAUCAAACCGGGAGAUAGCUGGUUCUCCCCGAAAGCUAUUUAGGUAGCGCCUCGUGAAUUCAUCUCCGGGGGUAGAGCACUGUUUCGGCAAGGGGGUCAUCCCGACUUACCAACCCGAUGCAAACUGCGAAUACCGGAGAAUGUUAUCACGGGAGACACACGGCGGGUGCUAACGUCCGUCGUGAAGAGGGAAACAACCCAGACCGCCAGCUAAGGUCCCAAAGUCAUGGUUAAGUGGGAAACGAUGUGGGAAGGCCCAGACAGCCAGGAUGUUGGCUUAGAAGCAGCCAUCAUUUAAAGAAAGCGUAAUAGCUCACUGGUCGAGUCGGCCUGCGCGGAAGAUGUAACGGGGCUAAACCAUGCACCGAAGCUGCGGCAGCGACGCUUAUGCGUUGUUGGGUAGGGGAGCGUUCUGUAAGCCUGUGAAGGUGUACUGUGAGGUAUGCUGGAGGUAUCAGAAGUGCGAAUGCUGACAUAAGUAACGAUAAAGCGGGUGAAAAGCCCGCUCGCCGGAAGACCAAGGGUUCCUGUCCAACGUUAAUCGGGGCAGGGUGAGUCGACCCCUAAGGCGAGGCCGAAAGGCGUAGUCGAUGGGAAACAGGUUAAUAUUCCUGUACUUGGUGUUACUGCGAAGGGGGGACGGAGAAGGCUAUGUUGGCCGGGCGACGGUUGUCCCGGUUUAAGCGUGUAGGCUGGUUUUCCAGGCAAAUCCGGAAAAUCAAGGCUGAGGCGUGAUGACGAGGCACUACGGUGCUGAAGCAACAAAUGCCCUGCUUCCAGGAAAAGCCUCUAAGCAUCAGGUAACAUCAAAUCGUACCCCAAACCGACACAGGUGGUCAGGUAGAGAAUACCAAGGCGCUUGAGAGAACUCGGGUGAAGGAACUAGGCAAAAUGGUGCCGUAACUUCGGGAGAAGGCACGCUGAUAUGUAGGUGAAGUCCCUCGCGGAUGGAGCUGAAAUCAGUCGAAGAUACCAGCUGGCUGCAACUGUUUAUUAAAAACACAGCACUGUGCAAACACGAAAGUGGACGUAUACGGUGUGACGCCUGCCCGGUGCCGGAAGGUUAAUUGAUGGGGUCAGCGCAAGCGAAGCUCUUGAUCGAAGCCCCGGUAAACGGCGGCCGUAACUAUAACGGUCCUAAGGUAGCGAAAUUCCUUGUCGGGUAAGUUCCGACCUGCACGAAUGGCGUAAUGAUGGCCAGGCUGUCUCCACCCGAGACUCAGUGAAAUUGAACUCGCUGUGAAGAUGCAGUGUACCCGCGGCAAGACGGAAAGACCCCGUGAACCUUUACUAUAGCUUGACACUGAACAUUGAGCCUUGAUGUGUAGGAUAGGUGGGAGGCUUUGAAGUGUGGACGCCAGUCUGCAUGGAGCCGACCUUGAAAUACCACCCUUUAAUGUUUGAUGUUCUAACGUGGACCCGUAAUCCGGGUUGCGGACAGUGUCUGGUGGGUAGUUUGACUGGGGCGGUCUCCUCCUAAAGAGUAACGGAGGAGCACGAAGGUUGGCUAAUCCUGGUCGGACAUCAGGAGGUUAGUGCAAUGGCAUAAGCCAGCUUGACUGCGAGCGUGACGGCGCGAGCAGGUGCGAAAGCAGGUCAUAGUGAUCCGGUGGUUCUGAAUGGAAGGGCCAUCGCUCAACGGAUAAAAGGUACUCCGGGGAUAACAGGCUGAUACCGCCCAAGAGUUCAUAUCGACGGCGGUGUUUGGCACCUCGAUGUCGGCUCAUCACAUCCUGGGGCUGAAGUAGGUCCCAAGGGUAUGGCUGUUCGCCAUUUAAAGUGGUACGCGAGCUGGGUUUAGAACGUCGUGAGACAGUUCGGUCCCUA
rnacentral:rRNA from 1 species